UUUGUCACAUAACUAUUUAUUAAUAAUUUUAUAAGUAGUUGUUACACAAAAAGUUUUGUGUCGUAGUUUGCGCGUUCAAAGUUUGUAAAUAACUUUCUCUAUUUCGUUGCUUAGUUUCUCGAUAUUUCGUAAGAAUUCAUUUAAAUUACGUUUACUUUUAUUACUUUUUGGUGUCAUUAGAUAAUUACUUUUUUUUUAUAGAAUUAAUAGACAUUGACCUAUACAUAUGUUUCUCUUCGUUUAUGAGCGAAAUAGCAGUAUGUUACAUUAUUAUUACAGGAAAUGCAAUUGUUUUUAAUAUUAUGUAAAAUGUUCAAAUUCGCAUCUAAAUACUAAAUUGUAGAAAUUUUAAAUUUAUUAUAUUAAUGAAUAUUAAUAAUAAUGUUUAAGUAUCAAGUCCUAAAAGUGUGUACAUAACCUGACGUAACGAUACCUAUUUGUAUCAUCAAUACCUAUCAUAAAAUUCUAUAAAUAAGUAAUAACAUAUCUAUUAAAUAAUUUAAAAAAAAUUCUAAGUAUAAUUAAAAAAUGACUACUGCUUUAAAGUGAAAAUAUAAACAAUUUGUAUUAAUUAUUUUAAAUUUAUUGUUAAGUUUGAUAGAUGGCGUUGUACGUUGUAAAAUACUCUACAAUCUGUUUGGCAAUGGUAUUAAAAUACUUAGGUAUGUGUGUAGCGAUAUGAAUUAACUAUGAUAAAUUACUGACAAGCGCAUUGCUUUUAGGUCGUUAUCACUGAAAUAACAAUAGUUGAUAUUAACGCGAUCAAGUAAGUAAAAUAUAAUAAUUAUUCUAAGGUUUUCUCGAUGAUUCUACCGGGUUACUAGCAUGACAACGUUAAUUUUUAUCUCUUAUAAACUAUCCAGAUUAAACGUGAAAGUUUAAAAGCUAAUAAAACUUAUAUUUUUACUUUUAUCGUAACAUAUUCAAUUGUGUUUAUCAACGUAAUAUAUUUAUUACUUGAUACCCGUUGUUAAUUUACUACAAUUGUUACUUUUCUUGGGAAUCUUCCUUGAAAACCUAAAUUUGUUACGUCACUGAUCGCGCUAUAACAUGCCGUCAUACUAUGACGUCAUCGUCGCCCCUCUACCAUAUCGCCGCCGCUCGAGCGCUUGGAGUUCCACGAACUCACUAGUAAAAUAGCAAAUUACCUGUACAGCUGGUUUGUACUUGAACAUUUAAGUAUGUAAUUAGUUUAUAUAGUUAAAUGUGAUCUUUAAACUUUAGUGUCAGAAAUUGGAAAUGAUAAAAAACUUUUUUUACCAGAUCUUUGGAUAUUCAACGUUAAUGCCCUAAUUAUAAUGCCUAGUUCAAUUACGUCUAGUUGUAUGGUUUAAUUACUUACUGAUUUUUUGGAGUACAAAAUUUGCAGUUAUAUAGGCAUAGCUAAGAGAUAUAUAACCUACUUUAUUACCAACAAUGGGCUACCUGUUAUUCUUCCUCAAUUGUUUAAUUGUCAACAUCUAGUUCAAACCUGCAUUUUCUGCGGUGACUGGUGUAGAAAAAAAAUAAUAGUAUGGAUUCAUUAUAAAUGUAUUCAAUAUUUUACCAUGUAGAUAAACAGAAAGAUCUCGAAGUUUCUCGUUCAGAUAGAUUUCUUGUUAAUUUACGUUAUUUAACAAAUGCGUUUACAAACACAGUAAACGAAUUUGUUAGCAAUAUCUGAGAGAAUUGUAGUACAUAAAGCUUGCCUUAACCAGAUCUUUUGUUUAGUUCUGGUGUAAUAAGAAAUUAUUUUAGGUAGAACAGGACCGCACAAUGAACAGACAACAAUUGUUUGUAUUAUUAGCAACAUAACUCAUUGUACCAUUGUAAGGUACUUCAUUGAUAAAAUGUUUUAUACACAUUAUUUAGCACACCACUACCCUGGGUUACUGAAAGGCUAAAGCAUUGAAAUUUAUGUUAUAGUCUGGGGGUUCAACACAAAACGCAUUAUUUUGGUCCCAUUCUUAUAUGCGCAUUUCUUCAAUCUACAUUAUUUAAAUGUUAUCAUUGAUAGCACAUUUUUUUAUCAUAUGAUCAUGCGUCACGCAAGCGUGAUUCCAGUUGUAAAUUAGUUACAUGUUUAAACUGCAUGGACGUGCUUCCACUCACGAACUUAAAAAAAUCAGGAUAAUAUACAAAAAUAUAUGUAAACAAGGUUAUCAAUAUAUAGACGUCAACAAGUAAACCACAGAGUUGUUUACUUUCAAAAACAUUACUAAUCCUAUGCAUGAAUGAAAUCCUUGGGUUAAACCAAUAGGUAUAGUGCUAUUCAACAAUGUUGGACAUCAUUAUUUAUAUGGUCUUAUACCUAAUAAUAUACGGAUAAUUCGAUAUUGUAGUUUUUGUUCUUGUUAUAGAUACCUAUUUAUUGUAUUGCAUAGGUACUAGAACAACUGAUCUUUAAGGAUCUGAUAAAUGAGGCUGUCAAUUGCGCAAUAACACAACCGGAUUUGUCGGUUGCCGUCGACGACGGCGGCGCACGCGCAACCUUUGCGAGGCGAAACAUCAAGUCCGGCUGACUUGACCUACAUCGCGCUUGUGAAAUUUCUCCAGCGCUGCGCACUUCCAAGAACUAUCUUCUGGGGAAUCCCAAUGCCUCGCUGCAAAAUUGAUAGUAAGAACACAAAGUAAAGUUAUUAAAGACCGUUUAAAAGUUAUUUUUACCGGCAACCAAUUUGUCUUUCGACGAAUGCCACAAGCAUUGAUAAAAAAGGCAAAAAGUUAAACGUUCGAUGUGACAGGUAUGCUGUAGUAUCUUUAUUGUAGAAAACACAUUGUUACCUGUCUGUCGGGGGCACUAUUUCGAAUGCACUGUUGUUACUUUGUCAAAUUGUAACCACCCACGAUGGAUUAAUUAUCCCUGGUCGCUUUCACUGUACUUAUAGUAACCUCUGUUUUAUCUAAGUAUACUAUUAUCUAAGUUAUUAGUUACUAUUUAGUUUACUAUUAUUGUAUAUUUGUAUCUAGAUGUAAAAUGUUCUUGUGUUGUGUCAUUUUACUUAAAUUUAAGUAAUGUUAGUAGUGGGUCAACUACUGAUUUUAUUAGAUUAUAAAACAUUGAUUUACAAUUGAAAUUAUUAAAUAUUAUACUAUUAAGACUUCAUAACAUUACUCUCAAUAAUUUAAAUUAAUUAACUGUUUAAUAUACACAAUAUAAUAUUUUAGGUUAGAAAAUGUACAUAUAAUUAUAAUAACCACAAUUUAACAAUAAAUGUAUUUAUAAUAGACAUGUACCUAUAUAAUCAACAGGAAAAGAGCAUUUACAAAGAAACAUAACUCUCGUUAUAUUAACAUAAUGUUUAGUCUUUUAACAAAUGAAUGCAUUCUAUAAAAUUGUGUUCUAUAUAAAUUGAACUUCCUGUUUAUUCUAUAGAAGUAGACGUAAAUGAUAAAAUUAAAAAGACAAAGGGUUUGUUGAAGUAGUGCAGAAUUAAUUGCUAUUGUGAUCUACAAUGUUCAUUUAUAGAUAUCUAGUUUUGUUAAUAAAUACUCAUUGCAGUAAUAAA